GAUGAACGCUGGCGGCGUGCCUAAUACAUGCAAGUCGAGCGAACAGAUGAGAAGCUUGCUUCUCUGAUGUUAGCGGCGGACGGGUGGGUAACACGUGGGUAACCUACCUAUAAGACUGGGAUAACUCCGGGAAACCGGGGCUAAUACCGGAUAAUAUUUUGAACCGCAUGGUUCAAAAGUGAAAGACGGUUUCGGCUGUCACUUAUAGAUGGACCCGCGCCGUAUUAGCUAGUUGGUAAGGUAACGGCUUACCAAGGCGACGAUACGUAGCCGACCGGAGAGGGUGAUCGGCCACACUGGAACGGAGACACGCACCAGACUCCUACGGGAGGCAGCAGUAGGGAAUCUUCCGAAAGGGGCGAAAGCCUGACGGAGCAACGCCGCGUGAGUGAUGAAGGUCUUCGGAACGUAAAACUCUGUUGUUAGGGAAGAACAAAUUUGUUAGUAACUAAAAAAGUCUUGACGGUACCUACCCAGAAAGCCACGGCUAACUACGUGCCAGCCGCCGCAGUAA
rnacentral:rRNA from 1 species